GCGCCCGUAGCUCAAUUGGAUAGAGUAACGGACUUCGAAUCCGUCGGUUGUAGGUUCGAGUCCUACCGGGCGUGCCA
rnacentral:tRNA from 1 species